AAUCAAGCGUUUAAGGGCGUGUAGUGGAUGCCUUGGCACUGAAAGCCGAUGAAGGACGUGAUAUACUGCGAUAAGUUUCGGGGAGCUGUAUGUAAGUUUUGAUCCGAAAAUUUCCGAAUGGGGAAACCCACCACUUUAUGUGGUACUUUAAACUGAAUACAUAGGUUUAAAGAGACAACCUGGAGAACUGAAACAUCUAAGUAACCAGAGGAAAAGAAAUCAAUUGAGAUUCCGUUAGUAGUGGCGAGCGAACGCGGACUAGGCCAGUAGUUUUGUUAAAAAAAUUUGAAUAGUUUGGAAAUGCUAACCAUAGAGGGUGAUAGUCCCGUAUGAGUAAUGUUUAACAAAAUUCUUGAGUAAAGCGGGACACGUGAAAUCCUGCUCGAAUAUAGGGGGACCACCCUCUAAGCCUAAAUACUCUUCAGUGACCGAUAGUGAACUAGUACCGUGAG
rnacentral:rRNA from 2 species